rnacentral:rRNA from 1 species
GGGUCAGUAGGUUGGUCGUGCCACCGGUACGUACUGGUCUCACUGAUUCCUCCUUCCUGAAGAACCGUAAUGCCAUUAAUUUUGUGUUGCGGGGAAACAGGACUGUUACUUUGAAAAAAUUAUAGUGUUUAAAGCAAGCUAACGCUUGAAUACAUUAGCAUGGAAUAAUGAAAUAGGACGAUCGAUCCUAUUUUGUUGGUUUCUAGGAUUGACGUA